rnacentral:pre_miRNA from 1 species
AAUAUAUGACACCGUUGACUUUUUCUCGAAUGUUUGACCAUUCGUCUUAUUCAAAAAAUUUACGUAAUUAUAAUUUAUUUUGUUAUGAGUUGUUUUAUCACUCAUAUUACUUUAAGUGUGAUUUAUAUUUUAUACAUUUACAUAAAUUUUUUGAAUAAAACGAAUGGUCAAACAUGUGAGAAAAAGUCAAGUGUCAUCUAUU